rnacentral:rRNA from 1 species
CGCCCAGUUCAGAUUGCAGGCUGCAACUCGCCUGCAUGAAGCCGGAAUCGCUAGUAAUCGCGGAUCAGCAACGCCGCGGUGAAUGUGUUCCUGAGCCUUGUACACACCGCCCGUCAAGCCACGAAAGGGGGGGGCAUCCGAAGUCGCCGGGCCAACCGCAAGGGGGCAGGCGCCGAAGAUGAAACCCCUGAUUGGGACUAAGUCGUAACAAGGUAACUGUAGGGGAACUGCGGUUGGAUCACCUCCUU